UACAGAGGGUGCAAGCGUUGUUCGGAAUUAUUGGGCGUAAAGGGUGCGUAGGCGGUGCGGUAAGUCUGUAGUGAAAUCUCUGGGCUCAACUCAGAGUCUGCUAUAGAAACUGCCGUGCUUGAGUGUGGGAGAGGUGAGUGGAAUUACCGGUGUAGCGGUGAAAUGCGUAGAUAUCGGUAGGAACACCAGUGGCGAAGGCGGUCUCCUGGAGCAGACUUGACGCUGAGGCGCGAAAGCUGGGGGAGCGAACGGG
rnacentral:rRNA from 1 species